GGCACUUUGGCGGAGUGGUUAACGCGCUGGCCUGCUAACCAAUCGGAUGAUUGGAAGUUAGCCAGUUCCUUCGGGAGCGUGUGUUCGAAUCACACAGGUGUCG